rnacentral:rRNA from 1 species
UACGUAGGGGGCAAGCGUUGUCCGGAUUCAUUGGGCGUAAAGAGCGUGUAGGCGGCCAGGUAGGUCGGUUGUGAAAACUGGAGGCUCAACCUUCAGAGGUCGACCGAAACCAUCUGGCUAGAGUCCGGGAGAGGAGAGUGGAAUUCCUGGUGUAGCGGUGAAAUGCGCAGAUAUCGAGAGGAACACCUGCGGCGAAGGCGGGUUGCUGGGCUGACACUGACGCUGAUGUGCGAAAGCUAGGGGAGCGAACGGG